GCCAUGUGCCUUUGUUUAUGUUCUGGGUUACGUGUCUGCCCCGCCUUUGUCUGCACAUCCCGUCUCUACACACCUGUUUCCCAUUGUCAAUUGUUAUGUCUAUUUAACUGUGCCACGUUGCCGAUGGUGGCGCGGAAUCAUCAUCGUCGUACCGUCAGUGCGAUGUCCGUAUCGUCCUUUCCUUUGUUUCGUCUAGUUUUCGUCUAGUUUGUGUCUGUGUUCCUGUUUCAUGUACAGUGGUAACCCGCAUAUCGACCAGCUCGGACAUUGACCAUUUCACUUAGCGAACGGUUUUCCUAACGAAAUUUGCGCUCGCUGAACGACCAAAUCCCCGCUUAUCGACCUCGAACGUAGCGCGAGGGGAAGGAUCUUCCCAGUCUCGCCUCAGCCUUCGUGGAGAGAGCAUCUAUCGUAAAUUAAACUUCGGUUUGUGAACAACAUUAGUGUUAUUUAGCGGUCAAUAUAACAAUUUAGUGCGUGUAUAUUGUAUAUACAAUACUUUGUUUAAAGUGUAAAGUCUCCUGGCAGUGAGGGCUCAUCCUCCUCCAACUAACACCACUACUCAGCCUCCUCUCGCCCUCUCCAUCAAGCCAUCACUGCGGCUUAACGAACUCUUCAUAUGGAAAGGAAGUCCAAUCUGGAUGCUGUUGAGCUUUGUCCACACUCCAGGAAGGAAACCAAAGAAGGCCACCUGCUCACCCUGCCACUGCUGGCUGGACUGCCUCCUUCCUUUGGGGCUAAAGGCCUCCCCCUGGAAAUUAUAAAUAGACUUUUUGAACUGCCACUAUUGCUAAAAGAACACUUAAUAAAUUCACAUUGGUAAUAGUUCUGUUACUCACAUUUCUCGACUAUUUGCUGUUUAGUGGGGCAGUUCGAACAGCACCUGCUGUUGUCCAGCCUCCAUCAGCACGAGGUGACCCAGGAGCUGGCAAAAAGCCUCAAGAGCGCCACCAAAGAGCUACUGGAGCUUCGGCAACGCUCCGAUGCAGCAUCCAUCCCGCUCCCUGAACCCGGCUGUGAUGCCCAACGCCACCUUUCUAAGCUAACAGAAUAAUGUAAAGACGUAUUUGGACAUUUUUGAGCAGACCGCGGAGCGGGAGUGCUGGUCUAGGCAGGACUAAUCCGACACCCUGCCAGGGAGUACGACAGAAAAACAAGAGAUUCUCACCAGUAGAAGAGGAAGAACGGAACUGGGACCUCCUUCUUCCCUACAUCCUCUUCACCGUCCGUGAGGUUCCCCAGGCUUCUACCGGCUUCACCCUAUUCAAACUGCUGUUUGAGCGAUGACCUCACUGACUGCUGGACGUGGUCCGAGAAGCAUGGGAAGAGCAGCCCUCACCAUUUUGCUCCAUCACUGAUUUCAUUCAGGAUAUGCAGGCACGCAUCGAAUGAGUGGGCCCCAUAGUAAAGUAACAUCUAAAGGCGUCCCAACAGGAACGUACAUACAAUUGACAUUGUGACUAGGUUAUGUUGCUGGUCUCCAACGCUGCCUGCAAAUUCCUGGCCAAAUGGCAGGGCCUGUACACAGUUGAGAGGGUGGGACCUGUGAACUACAAGCUGCAACAGUCAGAUAAGUGCGCAGACACACAACUUUAACAUAUUAACAUCUUGAAGAAGAGCACUGCCUCUGGGCUGGUUGUCUGUGCUUGCUUUUCCCAUCAGAGAUCUUCAGGAGCGUGUCCUGGUGAAGAGGGGAAAUGAUCUCACCCCAGCCCAGCGACAGGAUAUCACAGAGCCGGUGGACCAAUUCGGGCACAUCUUUUCAUCUGUUCAGGGACUCACCCAGCUGGUCCAACAUGAGAUCAAAACCCUUCCAGGUAUGAUGUUAUGGCAACCUUCCCUAUCAGGUCCCGGAGGCCCACCGCCAGGCCAUAGAGGAAUAAGUGGAACGGAUGCAACGGGACGGUGUCAUUGAGGAGUCCACAAGACCCUUGUCUAGCCUUAUCGUAGUGGUGCCAAAGCCAGACGGAACAAUCCAGCUGUCCAAUGACUUCCGGAGGCUCAAUCAGGUACAGUAUCGGAGUUUGACAGCUAUCUCCUCCCCCGAAUGGAUGAUCUUGUGGAGCACCUGUGGAAGGCACGGUUCAUCUCCACCCUGGACCUCACAGAAGGCUGUUGGCAGGUUGCUUUCACCCCGGAAGCUCAGUCGAAGACUGCUUUCAACACCUCCAAUGUCCAAAAAUCGGGUAUUCUGGCACUGAAUCUUGUUCUGUUACCGAGGUUGUAUGUUUUGUAAUCUCCCAGCUAUCUGAACUUGUAGCCAACUUCUGGCUGUUUCCUGGUUUUUAGUUUUGAUUCAGUUUUCAAUUUGGAUUUGUCCUUCUCUUUAAAUAAAACACUUUUUACUUCA